CCUUCCUAGUGGGUCCGGACCCCCCGGACCCCGUUCGCCUAAAAAUAUUUCGGGCAAUCCAAUACGACCUUAGGAACCAUAGUCAGUGCCCUGCCCUGCCAUGACCGUUCCUCGUUUUUUUUGCUUUUUACAACCAAAAAAUAGAAUUCCGCCCGAUUCCCAUAUUUUUAUGUGCUCUAGCCCACGCCUUCCGAGUGGGCCCGGGUCCCCCGAAACCGGAUUGCCUAACAUUUUUCCAGGCCAUCAAAUAUGACCUAAGGAACCAUAGCCACCGCCCCUCCAUGGCCAUUCCUCGUUGUUUUGCGUUUUACGGCCAAUAAGCUAGAAUUUCGCCUGAUUCCCAUAUAUUCGUGUGCGUCCACGCCUUCCGGGUGGGACCGGGACCCCCAGACCCCGGUUGCCUAAACUUUUUACGAGCCAUCAAAUACGACCUAAGGAACCAUAGUCACCGCCCCGCCGUGGUCGUUCCUUGUUGUUUUGCAAUUUACGGCGAAGAAACUAGAAUUUCGCCCGAUUCCCAUAUUUUCGUGUGCUAUAGCCCAUGCCUUCCGAGUGGGUCCGAGACCCCGGACACCGAUCGCCUAAA
rnacentral:lncRNA from 1 species